GGGACAACCCGCCGAAAGGCGGGCUAAACCCGCGUACAUGCCACCGGGGCAUCCCGGAGGCAGGAAAGGCUUCGGCCGGACAGGGAUGGGCAUGCGGCGCAUUAGGCAGUAGGCGGGGUAACGGCCCACCUAACCGACGAUGCGUAGGGGUUCUGAGAGGAAGGUCCCCCACACUGGUACUGAGACACGGACCAGACUCCUACGGGAGGCAGCAGUGAGGAAUAUUGGUCAAUGGUCGGGAGACUGAACCAGCCAAGCCGCGUGAGGGAUGAAGGUACAGAGUAUCGUAAACCUCUUUUGUCAGGGAACAAAGGCGGGGACGUGUCCCCGGAUGAGUGUACCUGAAGAAAAAGCAUCGGCUAACUCCGUGCCAGCAGCCGCGGUAAUACGGAGGAUGCGAGCGUUAUCCGGAUUUAUUGGGUUUAAAGGGUGCGCAGGCGGUCUGUUAAGUCAGCGGUCAAAGCCCGGGGCUCAACCCCGGCCCGCCGUUGAAACUGGCAGUCUCGAGUUGGAGAGAAGUAUGCGGAAUGCGCGGUGUAGCGGUGAAAUGCAUAGAUAUCGCGCAGAACUCCGAUUGCGAAGGCAGCAUGCCGGCUCCACACUGACGCUGAGGCACGAAAGCGUGGGUAUCGAACAGGAUUAGAUACCCUGGUAGUCCACGCAGUAAACGAUGAAUGCAGGCUGUCCG
rnacentral:rRNA from 1 species